rnacentral:lncRNA from 1 species
CACCUUUUAUAGGCUGGACUCUGGUGAAGAUGUUUUUUGUAAUUCAUCCUCACAGUAUUCUUAAAUGCCAGUACCAUGAUCAUGCCCAUUUUACAGAUGAGGAAACUGAGGUUCAGAGAAGUUCCAUGUCUCACUCAGGUUACAUAUCUGGCAAGUGAAAGAACUGUGAUUGUAACCUAGCUCUCUCUCUGCUAAAGGUGGUGCCUUUCUCUCUGUUUUACUUCUCAGUCUAGCAAGCAGUUUUAACUACAUAUCAACAACCUCAAAAAAUGUUCCUACUCUUUGAUCCAGCUAACCCACUUCUGACAACCAUUCUCAUGAAAUAAUUCUGAGUGCAAAAUAAGUGUCUUAAGAUUCAAUGUGGCUAAGCACACACUGGUGUGUACCCCACUUCUUCCCUAAAUCCCACUGAAAUGGUGGAAGAGAUUCAGAAAUAAAAAUUGCUUGAGGUUGUGGGCAGUCAGGAGGAGGGGGAAUCAAUGUCCAGAAGAUUAAGGAAUUUCCAGGGAACAUAAGAGAAAUAUAAGAACAGAUUGGUGAAGAAAUGAAAACAAAGCUGUAAUGGUUAAAUGAAUAAUUGUUUGCAGAGUGAAUGCUCCCAGCAGAAUUCUAGAACAGAGGCAAUAUGACCAUGAAAGCAUGAGCUAGAGGUGGACUGGAGAGCGGCGAGUGGUUCCUUUCCACUGUCCGCUUUCUGCUCCCUGCACACAGUCACCCGAGGCCGGCCCCUGUAUCAGCCACUGCUUCUCUGCCAGAGGAAUGGGAUUCUCACAGGGCUAAGCACGUGCUCCUCCAGCCACCGACAGCAUUCAGCCCAGAAGCCCAUCUACUUUAUUAACAGCUAUGUAAGAAUUUCCAGAUUUUUCAGAAAAGCCAGAGCCUGAGAUUGCUGCAUAGAGGCGUGGAGGUCCUCCUGGAGAAAGCAGCCAGGGCAAUAAGCAAUGGCAUCUGUUUCUUUUUCUUUAACACGUUUGUGCAGAAUCCUUUAGCUCGGUCUUCUAGCUUACUAGUUUAGUUCUUAGUUAUCUAUUUAGCAUAUUUUUUGAGUUUUUAAAACUUUGUCAGUCAUUGUUUUAAUUCUCAAGAACUCGUAUUGGAUCUUUUUCAGAGAGGUUUUAUUUUUUUAUUGGAAUGUAGUUGCUUUACAAUGUUAUGUUAGUUUCUGCUGUACAAUGAAGUGAAUCAGCUACACACAUGCCUGUGUGCUUAGUCCCUCAGUCGUGUUCGGCUCUUUGCGAUCCCGUGGACUGUAGCCCGCCAGGCUUCUCUGUCCAUGGGGAUUCUCC